rfam:Enterococcus faecalis V583, complete genome.
AACAGAGUAGGAGACAAAGCGUUAAGUGCUAAAAGGAUGGGAUGUUGCCUUUUGGACGAAGAACAUAAACAGUGUGUUGCUAGAAAGCAAAGGUUCUUACUUUGCUUAUCAUCAGAACAACACGUUCAGCUUUUUAAUGUUCGCGGUUUUGUUUUCGCAUUCGCUGCA